rnacentral:rRNA from 1 species
UGCUAAUACAUGCAAGUCGAGCGAAUGGAUUAAGAGCUUGCUCUUAUGAAGUUAGCGGCGGACGGGUGAGUAACACGUGGGUAACCUGCCCAUAAGACUGGGAUAACUCCGGGAAACCGGGGCUAAUACCGGAUAACAUUUUGAACCGCAUGGUUCGAAAUUGAAAGGCGGCUUCGGCUGUCACUUAUGGAUGGACCCGCGUCGCAUUAGCUAGUUGGUGAGGUAACGGCUCACCAAGGCAACGAUGCGUAGCCGACCUGAGAGGGUGAUCGGCCACACUGGGACUGAGACACGGCCCAGACUCCUACGGGAGGCAGCAGUAGGGAAUCUUCCGCAAUGGACGAAAGUCUGACGGAGCAACGCCGCGUGAGUGAUGAAGGCUUUCGGGUCGUAAAACUCUGUUGUUAGGGAAGAACAAGUGCUAGUUGAAUAAGCUGGCACCUUGACGGUACCUAACCAGAAAGCCACGGCUAACUACGUGCCAGCAGCCGCGGUAAUACGUAGGUGGCAAGCGUUAUCCGGAAUUAUUGGGCGUAAAGCGCGCGCAGGUGGUUUCUUAAGUCUGAUGUGAAAGCCCACGGCUCAACCGUGGAGGGUCAUUGGAAACUGGGAGACUUGAGUGCAGAAGAGGAAAGUGGAAUUCCAUGUGUAGCGGUGAAAUGCGUAGAGAUAUGGAGGAACACCAGUGGCGAAGGCGACUUUCUGGUCUGUAACUGACACUGAGGCGCGAAAGCGUG